UACCUCUGGUGGAGCUGUUGUCGCGCCAGCGGCAGUGCAGCAUAGCUAUGUACGGACGGGAUAACCGCUGAAAGCAUCUAAGCGGGAAACCCACCUCAAAACGAGUAUUCCCUUGAGAACCGUGGAAGACGACCACGUUGAUAGGCCGGAUGUGGAAGCACAGCAAUGUGUGUAGCUUACCGGUACUAAUCGUUCGAUUGGCUUGAUUGC
rnacentral:rRNA from 1 species